UACAGGGGGUGCAAACGUUGCUCGGAAUCAUUGGGCGUAAAGCGCACGUAGGCGGUUCGUUAUGUCGGAUGUGAAAGCCCUUGGCUUAACCGAGGAAGUGCAUCCGAAACUGGCGAGCUAGAGUACGAAAGAGGAUCGCGGAAUUCCCGGUGUAGAGGUGAAAUUCGUAGAUAUCAGGAGGAACACCGGUGGUGUAAACGGCUUUCUGGACCAUAACUGACGCUGAGGCACGAAAGCGUGGGUAGCAAACAGG
rnacentral:rRNA from 1 species